rnacentral:rRNA from 1 species
AACGAACGCUGGCGGCAGGCCUAACACAUGCAAGUCGAACGGACCCUUCGGGGUUAGUGGCGCACGGGUGAGUAACACGUGGGAAUAUGCCCUUAGGUACGGGACAACAGCUGGAAACCGCUGCUAAUACCGUAUGAUUUCGGAAGAUCAAAGAUUAUCUCCUAAGGAUUAGCCCUCGUUAGUUUAGGUAGUUGGUGGGGUAAGAGCCUACCAAGCCUACGAUCUAUAGCUGGUCUCAAAGGAUGAUAAGCCACACUGGAACUGAGACACGGUCCAGACUCCUACGGGAGGCAGCAGUGAGGAAUAUUGGACAAUGGGCGAAAGCCUUAUCCAGCCAUGCCGCGUGAAUGAUGAAGGCCUUAGGGUUGUAAAGUUCUUUUAGUAGUGAAGAUGAUGACGGUAACUACAGAAAAAGCCCCGGCUAACUCCGUGCCAGCAGCCGCGGUAAAAC